rnacentral:rRNA from 1 species
CCUACGGGAGGCAGCAGUGGGGAAUAUUGCGCAAUGGGCGAAAGCCUGACGCAGCGACGCCGCGUGAGGGAUGAAGGUCUUCGGAUCGUUAACCUCUGUCAGCAGGGAAGAACGGUCACUGUGCUAAUCAGCAGUGAAUUGACGGUACCUGCAAAGGAAGCACCGGCUAACUCCGUGCCAGCAGCCGCGGUAAUACGGAGGGUGCGAGCGUUAAUCGGAAUUACUGGGCGUAAAGCGCUCGUAGGCGGUAUGUCAAGUCAAGGGUGAAAUCCCCGCGCUCAACGUGGGAACUGCCUUUGAAACUGGCAAACUGGAGUGUGUGAGAGGAUAGUGGAAUGCCAGGUGUAGGGGUGAAAUCCGUAGAUAUCUGGAGGAACAUCAGUGGCGAAGGCGACUAUCUGGCACAUAACUGACGCUGAGGAGCGAAAGCGUGGGUAGCAAACAGGAUUAGAUACCCGAGUAGUC